AGUUUUUAAUAGUUGGGAGGAGUUUUUGUAUCUGCAUAUGGCUGAGAGGUAGCUUAGGGAGCAGAAAUGAGCUGGGAAUGCAGAAUGGUUAUAAAGUUAGUUAAGAGAGGGACUUGCUAGAGGUCCUGGAAGUGUUGAUGGCUGUUUGCUUUAGGUGGUUUCAGUAAUGCUGUUAGGGAGCUCUGCAAGACCAGGGAGGAAGUUUAUGUCCAGGGCUUGUGCUAAUUGUGCCAGAGGGAGCAUUCUUAAAUGUUUUGUGUUUGUACUCCUUUCUUCCUCAAAAGGAGUGAUGUGGGAAGUGAUUUUAACUGAAGAAAGGGACAUGGCUUAAAUGGCUGAAUGCAGCUUGUCUUCUCCCUGGUAAAAUAGCUUGUGAAAAUGCAACACCUUGAGAUCUUUGAGGUGAAAACUGUAUGCAAAAGCUGCUCAUCCAGCAGACCGUGUGGUCUGGCUUAUGACCUUUGUUGCUUGGUAUGAAGAGUCAUAUUCCUAGAGAGACCUACAGCCAACAAGACUUCUGGUGCUCCUUCCUACAGCAGAUGGUCCAGUUCACAGCCCCAUCAGAUCUGCCCACUGUUAUCUGAGGACCGAUAGGGUCCCUUUUGGAUUUUAGUGAGUGCAUGAUGCUCUGGUAGCUGAAUUUUACACGGCUUCCUGUGAUGAGCAUUACAGGCUCCUGUGAGAAGAGACUUGAGCAGCUGAAGCUUGGCAAGCCCCAGUGGAUCCUGUUAGAGAUCAGAGGAGAAACCCACAAGCAAGGACAUGGAGUAAACAACAGUACAUCUGUCAGCAGGCAGCUGAUCAAAUCUGUACUCUCAGUACAGUUGGGCAUGAAAGAAAAUGCUCAAAUUGCUCUUUUACCUACCUUGUGCCUUGCAGCCUCCUGUAAAAGAAUGACCAUACUGUUGGAUUUAGGCUGCCUUGUUAAUGAGAGAUCAUGCGAUGAGUGAAUUCAAGUUAUGAGUGAGUGUGUGCUAUGGAUAUUGGCACAUUGGAUUGCAAAGACUGUCUUCUUUGGCAGUCUCUGGAAGAAAUGGGACCAGUGCUCUCCUCUUUCAGCUGGGUUUUCUGUAGUAGAAUGAAGCCAAAGACAAGAAAUAGAAUUGUUCAAUGAGAAGUACAGUAAAAGAGCUCAGUUUUCGCUAAUAGGACAUUGAAUUU